rnacentral:lncRNA from 1 species
UAGGCUCUAACCCGAGUGGGGCUAGGCGGGGAUGGCUCUUGGGAGAAGCUCGGGCUUCAGGGCGGCUACUCCCACGCCCUUUCAUCCCACUUGCCCGGCUGCUCUGCUCCAGGACGCCCCCUACUGUGUGCGAGGUCCGGGUUUGCGCCUCUCUUCUGUGCGUGACCCCCGGCAGCUAGCACCGGCUGCGGCUGGGUGGCCUUGUCUUCCAGCUAGAUGUGGUGGGGGCGGAGUAGGUGGAGGACCAGCAGCCACAGGGCAAAAGGGGAAGCUGGUAGGGAGCAGAAGGCGUCCCGCCGGCGCCGCCGGGCCGGGAAAGGGAUCCAGGCUGGGCAUGUCCUGGUAGCAUAAGAAGCACAAGGAUGCUUCUCUAGGCGGUGGCAGAGAAAAGAGGGCAAGAGGCGGCAGUGCGA